rnacentral:rRNA from 1 species
AACGAACGCUGGCGGCAUGCCUAACACAUGCAAGUCGAACGAGACCUUCGGGUCUAGUGGCGCACGGGUGCGUAACGCGUGGGAACCUGCCCUUAGGUUCUGAAUAACUCCCCGAAAGGGGUGCUAAUACCGGAUAAUGUCUUCGGACCAAAGAUUUAUCGCCUUUGGAUGGGCCCGCGUUGGAUUAGCUAGUUGGUAGGGUAAAAGCCUACCAAGGCGACGAUCCAUAGCUGGUCUGAGAGGAUGAUCAGCCACACUGGGACUGAGACACGGCCCAGACUCCUACGGGAGGCAGCAGUGGGGAAUAUUGGACAAUGGGCGAAAGCCUGAUCCAGCAAUGCCGCGUGAGUGAUGAAGGCCUUAGGGUUGUAAAGCUCUUUUACCCGGGAUGAUAAUGACAGUACCGGGAGAAUAAGCUCCGGCUAACUCCGU